rnacentral:rRNA from 1 species
GACGGAGGGUGCUAGCGUUGUUCGGAAUCACUGGGCGUAAAGGGCGCGUAGGCGGCCUUGCAAGUCGGUUGGUGAAAGCCCGGGGCUCAACCCCGGAGGUGCGGCCGAGACUGCAGGGCUGGAGGCCGGAAGAGGAGGGUGGAAUACCCAGUGUAGAGGUGAAAUUCGUAGAUAUUCGGAAGAACACCAGUGGCGAAGGCGGCUCACUGGACCGGUAUUGACGCUGAUGUGCGAAAGCGUGGGGAGCAAACAGG